CUGAGACACGGCCCAAACUCCUACGGGAGGCAGCAGUGGGGAAUAUUGGACAAUGGGCGCAAGCCUGAUCCAGCCAUGCCGCGUGAGUGAUGAAGGCCCUAGGGUUGUAAAGCUCUUUUGUGCGGGAAGAUAAUGACGGUACCGCAAGAAUAAGCCCCGGCUAACUUCGUGCCAGCAGCCGCGGUAAUACGAAGGGGGCUAGCGUUGCUCGGAAUCACUGGGCGUAAAGGGUGCGUAGGCGGGUCUUUAAGUCAGGGGUGAAAUCCUGGAGCUCAACUCCAGAACUGCCUUUGAUACUGAAGAUCUUGAGUUCGGGAGAGGUGAGUGGAACUGCGAGUGUAGAGGUGAAAUUCGUAGAUAUUCGCAAGAACACCAGUGGCGAAGGCGGCUCACUGGCCCGAUACUGACGCUGAGGCACGAAAGCGUGGGGAGCAAACAGG
rnacentral:rRNA from 1 species